UAGGCAUAUUAUAGCAUGUGAAUGGAGCCC
rnacentral:piRNA from 1 species